UGUGCCCUCUAUGAAACACAUGUAACCAUCUGCCAGGCCUCCCCAGCUGGUAACCGCUUCAGUCCUGCUCACUGAAUGAAUUGUCCAAUGCCUAUUGAUAUGGACCACCGUUGCUAAUGCUGUUGCCCCAAGAAUUAUAAAGUGAAAUAAAGACAGGUCCUUUAUUUGGAGAUGUAAGCCAGGAGAAGAAAGCCACAGACUGUAUCCCCAUCAUUUCUAUGGAGAGCAAAGGAGUCACUCUGUACAGAAUGACUACCAUAGCUGGCAUCAGACUCACUAAGCAAAGCAGAAGAAUCUUGAGUUUCUUAGAGAAAGUCAAAUCAAAGAGGAACGGGCACAACCUGGUCAACUAAAUCAGAUGCCAUGUCUGAUGUUGUCCUUUCCUUCUGUCCUGAUGUAUCUACUUCUGGGACUUUCCAGACUUAUUUCAGAUUCCUUCUGGGUAGUACCCAACCACAAACAUCAGUCGUAAGUUAGUGGCCUGAUUAUGCAUUUAUUCGUUGGGUAUCAGUGCCAUUAUUCUUUGAAGAGAUACUUCCAUCCUGCCCUUCUUAGGAAGCCCUUUGACACAUUAGCAGGUGGAAAGCUUUGGCGUGAAGCACGCAGAAAAUUCCAGGAAUUGUGCAGCUAUAUAGCAGGCCUAUGAGGCAAACCUCUUCAACACAAACACACACCUUCUACUUGGGCUUGAUGGGGUAGCAUAACUAUUGUGCCAAUUUCUGAUACGUUUCUUCCCCCAAGCCAUAUGAAUGGAGAAAACUAAACUCUGGCAAUGCAGAAGAGCCUUCCACACUCUGCCCAAAGAGACACAGCCUGGUUAAAUACAUUUGAACUCCCUGAGUCCAUCACCAUCACAAGCAGUAUGAUGGCUUUUAAAGGAAGGUCCCUGAACCGGCAGCAGCAUCUCCUCGGGAAAGAUUAACCAGUCAAGGCACACUAAAUCAAACUCUGGGGAUGUGUUUUAACAAACCCUCCAGCGAGUCUGCCGUACAUGUUCGAGAACAAACACUCUUGCCACAUUUAGCCUGUCCGUCUAUGACAAAGGCUAGAUAGCUGUCAAAAACCAGACUAGACUGGGAAGGUUCCCAGGACCAGAUCAUUUGGCAGAGUUGCAGGCUGUGAGGGGUUUGAAGCUAAUGGUGCCAGGUCACCAGCCCAGGACUAGAAAAAAUGCAAAAUGGCAUGUUCAGGGUUCUCUGGAUCUAUGAUAUUGUGUGACAAGUGGCAAGCAAACUUGGCAUUUUCUAAACAGGUGAUGAUGUAACAGAGUCAUAACCUGUUUUCCUGGAUCUCUUGCCAGAUUUCUAGGGCUUCAACAUGUAAAAUGUGAAGUACUGUGGAUUUCAUACCCCUACACUGAGUAGCAUACCUCAUGCUCUCUCUUAUAUGAACUGACAAGCACUGUAACUCUCACAUGCUGCAGAUAUUCAUACAGAGAAAAUUCUUCAUCAUUAGUUCUGGUACUAAAAAUGAGGCUGUACCGAGAAAACAAACAGGGACUUGCAUUUUCUCAACCCAAACAUUUUGCCAGAUGCCAUGUUUUGUGUUAAGAGGAAUUAAUAUGAAAAAUCUUACAAACCUAGGUGCACCUGUUUUAUAUAUUCAAUCAAUGAGGCUUUGUUUUUAUUCCAGAAGAAUGGAAGCUUCUCCUCAUGAGGAUAUUUACAGCACGACAGCUCCAAUGUAAUUUCAAAACACUGGGCCCAGAUGUAGUUGUAAUCUUGCAUUCCACCUAAACACAAGCAUAUUUAAUUUUUUAAGGUCUAAAAUUGGAACAGAGUCAAGUAUCCUGUACCUUGGGGACAAAUGAAUCCGUUGCAAAGAAAGUACAUUUAAACAGGAAAAGAUGAAUUUGACAUAUUAGCAUAUAAAGUCACGGCCUGCCAUUUUAUUACCCAGGCAUGAACAGGCAAUCCUAAAUGUUCCCAUAUGGGUAACUGGAUCAGAGCUAAGGUUCAGCUGUGCAUCAAAAUCAACUGAGGGGCAGGGGAAGGGUCAGCCUUUUUUUUCCCCCCGAUCAUACAUUACAAAAAGGAUUCAUCAAUGUACAUUGCUUCUGUGAAAAUCAUUUUAAACUGAGAGUGAUGCUUCUAAAAAAUGUUUUUGCAAACCAUUCAUAAAUACACAUGUAAGCUAAGUAUACUCAUUCGGUGGAAUAAUAGUGGCUGACAUUUAGUGAGUGUUCACUAUUACCGGGCACCGUUUGAAGAGUUUGUCGCCCGUAUUUUACAGAUGGGGAAACAAUCACAUACGGUAAGUAACGUGCCAGUGAAGGCCGAGCCCAGAGCACAGGCUGUCUUGCGGACCCCGUGCUCUUAUGACACCAAACUGCUUCAGGGGAUGAAAGAAAGGCUGCUGUGCUAACUCUCGGGAGAGAAGGGACCCAGGCCCCCUUGCGUCCAGGGCUGCCGUCACCUGUGCUCAGUUUCUGGUUCUUACCUCUGAAAACCCAGUUUUCAAAAGGGUAUAAUCAUAUUUCCUAUGUUCUAAGAUGCAAGAUUUUCAUAUUUUAAAAUCUCUGAAUUGGAUGUGUCUUAAAUUUGAUGGCUAAAAACCAUCAUUGUGGCAUGAGUUUGGCCAGAAAUAUUUGUUUUUUCUUCCUUGGUGGUACGGUGUAUUUUCCAACCAGUGGCAUCUUGGAUUUUGAAAUAUGGUAACUUUGAAGGAAGGACUUUCGGCCAGAUUUCAACUUGUUGUACUUGAUACCUGCCUAUAAAAUACAUAUUCUCAAUUCCAUCAGGAUAUUUCGGAAGUACUGAAUUAGAAAAAAAACUCAUACUAAGAAAAUAGUCAAGAUACAUCAAAAUAUUACGUAGAUCUAGAUUCUAGCAGGAAGAAUUUCUAUGUCCUUUCUAGAUCCUUUACUCACCUUCUAAGUUUUGUAUUUCUCUCUGAGAUCAUUUUCACCAAGAAAUAGAAAACAGAAAAAAGGACGAGAAUAAUAAAACAGAAGCCCUUGGCUGGACGGCUCUCGGACAGAAAGAAUUUAAAUGGCAAAACAGGUGUACAGAGCACGCAGGGGUGAGGAUGCUUACGUGUGGAGAGUAUGUGCGCCUGUGGAUGAGGCACGCUGGGCCCCGAGGACAAAACCUCCAGGCUGAGCCAGGAUGCUGUGUUCUAAGCUCCUCAACGUAGCUGGCUCUGCCUGCGUUUUCCCUCAGGAGACACAGCCGACACACAGCGACACUCGGAAACAAUUCCCAACGGCGACACCAGGUUCCUAGCUAACCUCCCGCAAGCACACCUGGAUGUGUCCGGAAGUGACGACCGGGAAAGUGGCCUAUCACCCAAGUACGGCCUACGGCCUGCUAGAGGUAGGUCUCAAAUGGGGCCCUCUCCGCUGAGCAACGAGACCCCCUUCCAGCCCCUGGUCUCCCCUGGCUCUUCCGCCCUAGGUCCCUCCGUUCUCUCAGGCCCCUGACUCGUGUGAGUUCUCUUACACCCCUCGGCUUCUUCUCCCAUUCUUCCUUUUGACAAGAAUUAUCCCCCCCUCCUGUGACCCCCACAAGGCAAUCUCCUCCCCUCUCUCACCUGGCCCUCCUGUUCCAAGGACAGAAAAGUGGAAGCAUGCCCUCACUGCCCCCAUACCCGGCUGGAAAAGCACUUUUGUUUAGCGUGCAAAAUGGCUUUAAGAUCAAGAUAUUUCUGGAGAAACGGGAACCCUCUUGCACUGUUGGUGGGAAUGCAAAUUGGUGCAGCCACUCUGGAAAACAGUGUGGAGGUUCCU